CGCCCGGGCUCGAACUCACCCCUGGCACUGUCUACCCCAAAGCUUCCUUUCACUUUCGGUCUUUGGCUGUCAUCCAGCUUUGGCUUUCCACACCCAGCUGGGGCAAGCCUGAACCUGUCACAGGCAUGAGGGGUCCCCGGCAGAGAUGACAGUGCUGGCGCCAGCCUGGAGCCCAAAUUCCUCCCUGUUGCUGCUGUUGCUGCUGCUGAGUCCUUGCCUGCGGGGGACACCUGACUGUUACUUCAGCCACAGUCCCAUCUCCUCCAACUUCAAAGUGAAGUUUAGAGAGUUGACUGACCACCUGCUUAAAGAUUACCCAGUCACUGUGGCCGUCAAUCUUCAGGACGAGAAGCACUGCAAGGCCUUGUGGAGCCUCUUCCUAGCCCAGCGCUGGAUAGAGCAACUGAAGACUGUGGCAGGGUCUAAGAUGCAAACGCUUCUGGAGGACGUCAACACCGAGAUACAUUUUGUCACCUCAUGUACCUUCCAGCCCCUACCAGAAUGUCUGCGAUUCGUCCAGACCAACAUCUCCCACCUCCUGAAGGACACCUGCACACAGCUGCUUGCUCUGAAGCCCUGUAUCGGGAAGGCCUGCCAGAAUUUCUCUCGGUGCCUGGAGGUGCAGUGCCAGCCGGGUAACGGUGGCCCCAGAGCCCAGCACCAUGGUGCCACCAGGCUCACAGCCACAGCCUUGCUAACUGUGUGUCCAGGGCUUCUGCUCCCACUAGUUGGCACUUCACACAUGUUCUUUCUCCCUUAUUUUCUCUCUUUUCUUUCUUCUUUUUUAAAGAUGUAUCUUUAUGUGUGAGUGUUUUACCUACAUGCCUGUAAGUGCACUGAAUGUGUGUCUGGUGCCUGCAGAGGCCAGAAGAGGGCACCAGAUCCCCUGAAACUGGAGUCUCUGCUCCGUGUGAACCACCACGUGGGUGCUGGGACCCAGGUCCAAUGCAAGAGCACCCAGGGUUCUUACCUGCUGAGCCACCACUUCAACCCUUUUUCUUUUCUUUUGAGAUAGGGUCUCAUUAUGCAGGCUAGGCUGACCCUGAACUCAAAGCAAUCCUCCUGCCUCAGUGUCCUGAGUGCUGGGAUUACAGACUCCUCCACCCUGCUGCCCCCAAGGAGUCCCAUAGCCCUAGAAGCCACGGAGCUCCCAGAGCCUCGGCCCAGGCAGCUGUUGCUCCUGCUGCUGCUGCUGCUGCCUCUCACACUGGUGCUGCUGGCAGCCGCCUGGGGCCUUCGCUGGCAAAGGGCAAGAAGGAGGGGGGAGCUCCACCCUGGGGUGAGCCUAGAGCCUAGAGUCCAGGGCGGCUGGAUGGAGUGGGUGGCGAGGGAUGAGGGGGGCAGGUGGCUGACCUUGUGGGGGCCUCAGGUGCCCCUCCCCUCCCAUCCCUAGGAUGCGAGCCUUGUGCAUCGUUGACUCAGCCAGGGUCUUAUCUCGGUGAGUCUUCCACUUAUACUGGAGCCUGGAACAGCCAGGCUUGGGGGUCAGUCCAGGAUUUGGGGAGCUGUCUUAUUGUCUCUCACAGGAGGGGCGGGGAUUCAGGGGAGUGGUGUGUAUGUCAGGGGCAGCACGGUCUUGACUAAGUGUCCAGUGUGACAAGCUCAGGGGUUCGGCAGCUCCGACAAUCGUAAGCUGUGGAGAGCCGGGAAGGCUUGUGAGAGAGCCUGCUGUGAGAAUGAGCAAGGGGGCAGAAGGCGGGUGCCCUGCCAGCACCCGUAUUUUAGAAUAUGAUGUGUCUUACACUUGUAAUACCUCUCGUGUGGAGGUUACACCUGUAAUCUCAGCCCUUGGGAGCCCAGAGCAGGAUUGCUGAAUGGUCUGGCCACUCUCCACUACAAGGUGAGUUCAAGGCCAUUGUGAAAUACACAGCCAACUCGUCUCCUGUCUCAAAUAAACAAACAAAAACUCUCAGUUAAGUGACACUUAUUUUUUUUUUCAGAUGAGGUCUCAAUAUGUUGCCCAAACUGACUUUGAAAACCUCGAUGCACCUUCCUGCCCCACAAACUUCCAAACAGCUGGGCUUACGGGCAUGCUAUAUACAACAAGGCUUUCUUUUCUUCUUUCUUGGUGCUAGAGUUGGGAACCAAAACAAGGAACAAGCUAGGCAAGUGCUGUGCUGAGUUACAUCCCCAGCCCAGAGGACACACUGUCUGGGUAUGGCGAUGGACACUGUAAUUCCAGUGCUUCUGGAUUGGACAUGCUGAAACUGGAGGAUACUGACUUUAAGAAAAACAGAAAGGAAGAAGGGGGGUGCGUUGUAGCCCUGUGUGGUUGCUUUUGUCACCUCCACCCCUUAAAAUAAAAGCAACUGCUGGGUAUGGUG